UGUAUACAUGUUGAUCUGUUUAUGGUUGGUCUGUUUGCGGCUUCCUUAAACGGAGAGAUUCAAUGAUUAUGAUUGCUUUAUUAUAUAUUUUAUGUGGAUUGAUAUUCCUACAAGAAACUCACACUGGUAUGGGGAAAACUCGUUUUAAUACUGCAGCGUUCGAUGUUUGAAUUUUGUUUACGCCUUAUAGUUAUGGUGACAAAAUAUUUGUGUCUCUUAUGGUGGAAUAGUUGAACAUUAAUGGUGUCUUUUAAUAUUGUAUCUACUCUGUUAAUGGAUAGUGUAUAGCGACAUAUUCGCCUUGGGAUUGAGGAUGGAAAAAAGAAAAUGAAUUGAGGCCAAAAAGUGAUGGGAUCUGCUUUAAUCAUGCCACUAAAUGGUAACAUCAGUUGUGUAUUGUUAUGAACACUACUAUUUUGAUCACGAUUCAAAUAUCUUACAUGUACAUAUCUCCGCAGGCCCCAAUGUUAUCGUUUACGAUAGGUAGGAUUUUCUGAAAUCAGAGUAGGGACUUACAUCUUUGGGUUGAUUUUUUAUUUUUGCAAACACCGAACCACGCUUAGCUCCAAAUCUUACUUAUAUUGGCAAAACAAUGAGCAUAACACUUUAUCAUGUUUCCCAUUUGACUCGAAUUUAUGGAUAGACUUUUGUGUGAUUCUACAUAAAUUUUAUAAAUCAACUUCAACAAGAUGUGUUGGGCUCAUAUCUUUGGGUUGUUCUCUAAUUGUUAAACUAACUGAUUUUUUUUUGUGUACAUGCUGGGUUGUUUACUGGGGACUCCAAAUGAAUAUCUAUUGCCAGGGGUAAGCAAGCUAAUGAAUUGAGAUUAAUAUCCACAGUGGUCUCCCCAUAAGCUGUUAUCUGAUCCUAACCUUGAUGAAGAUGCUCAAGGUCUGCUUUCGGUAUAUAUGCUUGUACACCUUUCUCUUGCUCUUAGAGCUUCAAUGAAGGAAGAGAGGGCAAGAAAGGACGUUGCUACAAGG